AUUGAACGCUGGCGGCAGGCCUAACACAUGCAAGUCGAGCGAGCGGCGGACGGGUGAGUAAUGUAUGGGGACUGCCCGAUAGAGGGGGAGAACUACUGGAAACGGUAGUUAAUACCGCAUACUAACGGAUAACCCAUGUGGGGUUAGCUAGUAGGGUAGGUAAUGGCUCACCAAGGCGACGGUCCCUAGUUGGUCUGAGAGGUUGAUCAGCCACACUGGAACUGAGACACGGCCCAGACUCCUACGGAGGCAGCAGUGGGGAAUAUUGCACAAUGGGCGAAAGCCUGAUGCAGCCAUGCCGCGUGUAUGAAGAAGGCCCUAGGGUUGUAAAGUACUUUCAGUCGGGAGGCGUUACCGACAGAAGAAGCACCGGCUAACUCCGUGCCAGCAGCCGCGGUAAUUC
rnacentral:rRNA from 1 species